rnacentral:rRNA from 1 species
UCGUUAGAACAUCAAACGUUAAAGAGUGGUAUUUCAACGUCGACUCCAUUGAGACUGGCGUCCCAACUUCAUAGUCUCCCACCUAUCCUACACAUCAAAAUUCAAUGUUCAGUGUCAAGCUAUAGUAAAGGUUCACGGGGUCUUUCCGUCUAGCCGCGGGUACACCGCAUCUUCACGGCGAUUUCAAUUUCACUGAGUCUCGGGUGGAGACAGCCUGGCCAUCAUUAUGCCAUUCGUGCAGGUCGGAACUUACCCGACAAGGAAUUUCGCUACCUUAGGACCGUUAUAGUUACGGCCGCCGUUUACUGGGGCUUCUAUCAGGAGCUUCUCUUGCGAUUACACCAUCAAUUAACCUUCCAGCACCGGGCAGGCAUCACACCCUAUACCUCCACUUUCGUGUUUGCAGAGUGCUGUGUUUUUAAUAAACAGUUGCAGCCAGCUGGUAUCUUCGACCGGUUCAACCUUCAGGGGCAAGCCCUUACAAUCUACGCCGGCGCACCUUCUCCCGAAGUUACGGUGCUAUUUUGCCUAGUUCCUUCACCCGAGUUCUCUCAAGCGCCUGAGUAUUCUCUACCUGACCACCUGUGUCGGUUUUCAGUACGGUUUAGAUAAACCUUUCGCUUAGUGGCUUUUCCUGGAAGUCUGGUAUCAGUUACUUCAGCCCCUUAAGGCCUCGUCGUCAUCUCUCAGUGUUAACAGGAGCCCGGAUUUGCCUAAGCUCCCCACCUACCAACUUAAACGUACAUAUCCAACAGUACGCUAACCUAACCUGCUCCGUCCCCACAUCGCAGUUUAUCCAAGUACGGGAAUAUUAACCCGUUUCCCAUCGACUACGCUUUUCAGCCUCGCCUUAGGGGCCGACUCACCCUGCCCCGAUUAACGUUGGACAGGAACCCUUGGUCUUCCGGCGAACGGGUUUUUCACCCGUUUUAUCGUUACUUAUGUCAGCAUUCGCACUUGUGAUACGUCCAACAAACCUCUCGAUUCAUCUUCUUCCGCUUACACAACGCUCCCCUACCCAACAGGCGUAUCACUAAUAUUCCUCAAUUUCCAACCGCACUUCCCGUCAUGACUUCCGUCUCAACGGGUUUGACGCUUGACCAACCUGCUUCUCUUCAUUGCGCAGGUUGUUAAUCGUAAGGCGUAUUAGUGAUACGCCUGAUGCCGCAGCUUCGGUGCUAUAUUUCAGCCCCGUUACAUCUUCCGCGCAGGCCGACUCGACUAGUGAGCUAUUACGCUUUCUUUAAAUGAUGGCUGCUUCUAAGCCAACAUCCUAGCUGUCUAAGCCUUCCCACUUCGUUUCCCACUUAAUAUAGACUUCGGGACCUUAGCCGGCGGUCUGGGUUGUUUCCCUCUCCACGACGGACGUUAGCACCCGCCGUGUGUCUCCUGAGUAUCACUCUUCGGUAUUCGCAGUUUGCAUCGGGUUGGUAAGCCGGGAUGGCCCCCUAGCCGAAACAGUGCUCUACCCCCAAAGGUGUCCGCUCAAGGCUCUACCUAAAUAGAUUUCGGGGAGAACCAGCUAUCUCCCGGUUUGAUUGGCCUUUCACCCCCAGCCACAAGUCAUCCGCUAAUUUUUCAACAUUAGUCGGUUCGGUCCUCCAGUUAGUGUUACCCAACCUUCAACCUGCCCAUGGCUAGAUCACCGGGUUUCGGGUCUAUACCUCGCAACUACUCGCCCAGUUAAGACUCGGUUUCCCUUCGGCUCCCCUAUCCGGUUAACCUCGCUACAAAAUAUAACUCGCUGACCCAUUAUACAAAAGGUACGCAGUCACCCUUUCAGGCUCCCACUGCUUGUACGUACAAGGUUUCAGGUUCUAUUUCACUCCGGUCACCCCGGUUCUUUUCGCCUUUCCUUCACAGUACUGGUUCACUAUCGGUCAAUCAGGAGUAUUUAGCCUUGGAGGAUGGGCCCCCCUUCUUCAAACAGGAUAUCACGUGUCCCGCCCUACUUCUCGUUAGCUCAGUACCACUGCCGUGUCUUCAAGUACGGGGCUAUCACCCUCUCUCGCCGUGCUUCCCAACACGUUCCUCUGACACCGCCGCUAUCACUAACAGGCUCCUUCGCUUUCGCUCGCCGCUACUCACAAAAUCUCGGUUGAUUUCUUUUCCUCGGGGUACUUAGAUGUUUCAGUUCUCCCGGUUCGCCUCAUUAUCCUAUGGAUUCAGAUAAUGAUAGUGGGUUCUUCACCCACCGGGUUUCCCCAUUCGGAUAUCUCGGAUUAAACGCCUCUUAUCGACUCAUCCGAGCUUUUCGCAGAUUAGCACGUCCUUCUUCGCCUCUGAUUGCCAAGGCAUCCACCUUGUACGCUUUGUCUCUUAAC